ACCCAGCUGAUGAGUACAUCACAGGACGAAACGCGUGUCCUGGAU
rfam:Schistosoma rodhaini strain Burundi genome assembly, scaffold: SROB_scaffold0009309